AGCCCGUGAAACCUAGAGGCGGGGCGUCAAAUCCUUGACUCUGCUGCUCAGAGGCGUGGUUGCUGUUGAGCAUCUUAGCUCCGCUGUGCUUAGAUUGGAGCAGCGCUUUGUUCCGGGCACCGGCGUCUCUACCCUCCCGCGUCUGGUCCAUGCUUCUCUCUCCCUUCAUGCCCUUCCUAAGUCGCUGAGUCCCGGAGCUGCCCUCCUCCUUCUGCUUCUACACUUGUAGCCCAGCACCUUUACCGGAUCCUGUUUGCUUUUUUUUUUUUUUUUUUUUUUCUUUCUCCUCCCAAGGCCGGGGUCUCUCUGCCAGGCCCCGCCCCUCUAGGCCUGGCAUGUCCCCUGCUGCCCAGCGCCCAUGGUCCUGACGCUGCUCUUCUCCGCCUACAAACUGUGCCGCUUCUUCACCAUGUCAGGCCCACGGCCGGGCGCCGAUCGGCUGACAGUGCCCGGACCGGAUCGGAGUGGUGGCGCCAGCCCAUGGUGGGCUGCGGGCGGUCGCGGGUCUCGCGAAGUGUCGCCCGGAGUGGGCACUGAGGUGCAAGGCGCCCUGGAGCGUUCGCUGCCUGAGCUGCAGCAGGCGCUGUCCGAGCUGAAACAGGCAAGCGCGGCGCGGGCUGUGGGCGCGGGUCUCGCCGAGGUCUUCCAGCUGGUAGAGGAAGCCUGGCUGCUGCCGGCCGUGGGCCGCGAGGUGGCCCAAGGUCUAUGCGAUGCUAUACGUCUGGACGGUGGCCUCGACUUGCUGUUGCGGCUGCUUCAGGCACCGGAGCUAGAGACCCGUGUGCAGGCCGCGCGCUUGCUGGAGCAGAUCCUGGUGGCUGAGAACCGGGACCGCGUGGCGCGCAUCGGUCUAGGCGUGAUCUUGAACCUGGCGAAGGAGCGCGAGCCUGUGGAACUGGCACGAAGCGUGGCGGGCAUCUUGGAGCACAUGUUCAAGCACUCGGAGGAGACGUGCCAGCGGCUGGUGGCGGCCGGAGGCCUCGACGCGGUGCUGUACUGGUGCCGCCGCACAGACCCGGCGCUGCUGCGCCACUGCGCUCUUGCGCUGGCGAACUGCGCGCUGCACGGGGGCCAGACGGUGCAGCGGUGCAUGGUGGAGAAGCGCGCCGCCGAGUGGCUCUUCCCGCUCGCUUUCUCCAAGGAGGACGAGCUGCUGCGGCUGCACGCCUGCCUGGCGGUGGCGGUGUUGGCUACCAACAAGGAGGUGGAACGCGAGGUCGAGCAUUCUGGCACAUUGGCGCUUGUCGAGCCGCUCGUGGCAUCGCUGGACCCCGGCCGCUUCGCCCGCUGCCUGGUGGAUGCCAGUGACACAAGCCAGGGUCGUGGACCAGACGACCUGCAGAGCCUGGUGCUGUUGCUCGAUUCGUCGCGUUUGGAGGCUCAGUGCAUAGGAGCAUUCUACCUGUGCGCAGAGGCUGCCAUCAAGAGCCUACAGGGAAAGACCAAGGUGUUCAGCGACAUCGGCGCUAUCCAGAGCCUGAAACGCCUGGUUUCUUACUCUACGAAUGGCACCACGUCGGCGCUGGCCAAGCGCGCGCUGCGCCUAUUGGGCGAGGAGGUGCCAAGGCGCAUCCUGCCCUGCGUGGCCAGCUGGAAGGAAGCUGAGGUCCAGACCUGGCUACAGCAGAUCGGCUUCUCCCAGUACUGCGAGAACUUUCGGGAGCAGCAGGUAGAUGGUGACCUGCUUCUAAGACUCACAGAUGAAGAACUCCAGACAGACCUAGGCAUGAAAUCAAGCAUCACCCGCAAGAGGUUCUUUAGGGAGCUCACAGAGCUCAAGACCUUCGCCAGCUACGCUACUUGCGACCGCAGCAACCUAGCGGACUGGCUGGGCAGCCUGGAUCCUCGCUUCCGCCAGUACACCUAUGGCCUGGUCAGCUGCGGUCUGGACCGCUCCCUGCUGCACCGCGUGUCAGAGCAGCAGCUCCUGGAGGACUGUGGCAUCCGCCUGGGAGUGCACCGCACGCGCAUCCUCUCUGCAGCCAGAGGGCUUGCUGAGAGAUGACAACUUUUCCGAAUCAGGUCACUUUGCCCAGACUGGCCUGAGAAGCUUGAGGAGACCAAGUCUCCACGAUGAUGGACCCCGUGAUAAGCAGUGGGGAAGAGCCACCCUCACCUCCAUGUCUCUUUCCUUGGCUCCAGAAAUGCUACAUUCCCCGCUGCCCUGUACUGGAGGCAAGCUCAGUGGGGACACCCCAGAUGUCUUUAUCAGUUACCGGAGGAACUCAGGGUCCCAGCUGGCCAGCCUCCUGAAGGUGCACCUGCAGCUUCACGGCUUCAGCGUCUUCAUCGACGUGGAGAAGCUGGAAGCCGGCAAAUUCGAGGACAAGCUUAUCCAAAGCGUCAUAGCGGCUCGCAAUUUUGUCCUGGUGCUGUCUGCUGGGGCGCUGGAUAAGUGCAUGCAGGACCAUGACUGCAAGGACUGGGUGCACAAGGAGAUUGUGACUGCUUUAAGCUGUGGCAAGAACAUUGUGCCCAUCAUUGAUGGCUUUGAGUGGCCUGAGCCUCAGGCGCUGCCUGAGGAUAUGCAGGCUGUACUCACCUUCAACGGCAUCAAAUGGUCCCAUGAGUACCAGGAGGCCACCAUCGAGAAGAUCAUCCGCUUCCUACAGGGCCGCCCCUCUCAGGACUCCUCUGCCGGAUCGGAUACCAGUUUGGAGGGAGCUACGCCAAUGGGUCUGCCUUAACCUGUCCCCAGUUCCCGUGCCCUACUGUGACUCCUGAUUUAGUUCCCUGCCCUUAAAGGAAUAGCUCCUCUAGAUGCCACCCUGACUGAGGCAAACCAGACUGUUCUCAGGCAAUGGCUUUCCCGGCUGCCACUCUGUGGCCCACUUCUAAUCCAGAGAUGCCAGGCACAGGUUAGAUGAGAGGACACUCCUGUGUCAGGCCCUGCCAUCAGGACCCAGCUCCCAUGCAGAACCAUGUCCCUGCUUAGUUCUGGACAUCCAAGACAGGGGAAGAACAUUUCCCCAUCUCCUGACCUGAGAGCAGCCAGCUUGAGUAAGGUGAGGUUGCCAGCCUCCCAUAAGGGUCAAUACAACGCCUGGAUCCCCAAACCUGUGCUCAGGAGGAAGCUGGGGCUGAGAAUCCCCCAAGGCUAUCUACUCACAUUGUGCCUGGACCCGGGCUCACCUGGCUUCCUCCUGCCUCAUGGCCUUGCUCUGUAACUACCUGGUACCCCUUCUAGACUUCCUUUAGGCAGCCUCCUUUGGCAUAUUGGGAGUCAGGGUGUGGCUGAACUGGACCUCUGCCUGGCCUUGUUGCUCCUCCUGGUGCAAGAAGGGGUGCUUUGCUUAUGCAAGGAGACCAUAAGAGCUCACUCUAGCCCAAACCUUUGUGCGUGCCUAAGGCUCUUACCUAGCCUGCUCCAUCUGACUUCCCCAGCUCCUCACCCACACAGAGCUUGUCACCCACCUGCUCAGGGAAGCCCCAACACCACCAGUAGCCCGAGCAGAACCUGCACCAUGGGAAAAAGGCAAGCCAUCCACAGGCAAGGGCUAAUUCCUGGGGCAGUUUCUCCCACCGAAGUGUGUCAAAUCCAUUGGGAAUCUCAUCAAAAUUCAGAGCAGGCCACCUGGGAAGCACCUGGGCCUCUGCAUUUUUCAGAUUCCCAGGAGAGCUGAUGAAAGAGAGCCCUCACUAAUCCAGCCAUUCCAAACACCCCCACCCUGGUCCCUGAUCAUCACAACAGCCUUUUCCUCUCUCCAGUUUUACAGAGCUGAGUGGCUGAGUGAUGGGAUCAGGUCCCCAAGUUAUUGGUGGCAGCCUCAGGAUCUUGCCUUAGUCCUGGUACCCAGAUCUGUUCUCCUGAGACUCAUCCAAGAGGCUGUGGCCCAUGCUUGGUAGCUGCCUCUCCCUGGCCACAAAGAACUGAGCAGUGCAGGGUGGGUCUUGACUAAAAGGUGGAGCUAAGGGCAUAUAGAAUGUCCCAUGUCCCUCCCUCCACUGGACAAGAAAGGCAAGAAAGCUGGCUCUUGCCAUUACCCAGGCUCAAGCUCAGAGAGCUGGCACCACCCUGCUGUCGUCUUCUGGAGGCCAUGGGGUCACACCUCUCCUGAGGCUAGCCAGGUUACUUGCCCACGGCCCACAUUAUCAGAGAGCCAAAGGGCUUUCUCUCCAGGCCUGGGGACACUUUCCUCCUACCGUCCAUCUUCCAUGGGUCAUGGCUGGCCUCUGGCUGUGACUAUUUGCAGUUUUGUCACCAGGAACAACCCCCGCAUCCUAUUCUGAGGUGAGGCAGAUGGAAUGGUAUCCUUGAUGACAAAUUCAAUGACAAUACAGUGUAUGAGUUCACCCUAAGGAAAUGUCUGUCUUCAGUCCCAUACUCUCCAGUGGUCCCUGUGGGCAGUACUUAAGAAAUUUCUGGUUUUCCUUGUUUGGGGCACAAGUCACUACUACCUCCACUGUCUGGCCUUCUGUUGAUCUGUCCCCUACUGUCUUCUUGGGGAACCAGAGCACAGCCUUAUGUCCCAGCCAGGAUAGCAAAAGUGUCAAGCCUCCUCUAGCUAGACAGUACACUGUGUGGUGACAGAGGGCCUCAACUUCUGCUAAGCAUGGCUGACCACACUGAUCUUGAGACAGGCUCUUCAGUAGCCCUUCAAGCAGCCCACACUCGCAUGGUCUGUGGGUUCAGGGUUUCUUCCUAGCUGAGCUAUAGCUGCUGCCCCCAGAUUGGGGCCUAGUCAGGGAGAUCCCUACUCUUCAACACCCACCGUCUCUAGGGAGCUACGAACUGCUUAGGAACAUUAAGAGGCUAAAGAUCCAGCCAGUUUGUUCAUCCUUCACUGAGCAUCUCAUCCUGGGAUGUAUGGAGCUGGAGGGAUCUCAGAGCAUCCAACAGCUGUGCUUCCUAACGCAUCCAGUUAGGUCCUUGCAGACAGAUGUGGGGGAGUGCUGAUCCAGUUUUCUCUAGAUUUGCUCAAGGUCACAUGCUGCCAGAGUGAAGCCUUUCCCUCCUCACAGCCUCAGGGCAGUGGGGUUAGUGGAAAGCCUCUUCUUGCUUAGACUUUUCUAUUUCCAGAGGGACAGUGAAGCAGAAGUGUGGAAGCCAGAUGGGCCCUGGUGCAGUUCAGUGGGCCUUAGUUUUCCCUGGGAUGUAUCUCUUUCACCUGCAUGGUUUCCAGCUGGGAAACUAGCUUGCAGUUUGGGCAGGAAGAGAUAGCUUCAUCAAAGACAGUGGCUUCCCAUUAGAUAAGAUUCUACCUUUCAGUUUUGAGCCCAGGUCUUUCCAACACGCCACACAUACACACACACACACACACACACACACACACACACACACACACACACACAUUUCCCAGAAGUAGGAAUGAUGGUCUCAGUGUCUCAACACUGAGCUAUGUGGGUGGGCCAAAUAGCAACCAAAGGCGAUCCUUCUGGGGCUGGUGUAGCCAUGAAGCCAGCCAGGGAAUGAAUGAUCUGACCAUCAGCAAGGGGCAGCCAGAGCUUGGGUCCAAGUGUCUCCAUGGGCCUGAUGAAGCCUCACAAGCCCUUCACUCCUCAGCAGCUUAGGAAGAAACCAGCUGGAGCCUGGAGAAUGAGACAUACCCAGCACCAACCCGGUAGGCAACUAGGGGAGUCCAGCCCAGAAGGCAAUGGUGCCAAAUAGGCAGAGAGCAUGAAGACAGAAAGCCCCAAAGCCCAGUAAACUUUUCAGACUGAUUCAAACAAUUUACUGUGACAAUUGCCAAGGCUGAGGUCAAGGGUGGGUAGACUGUGGUCAAGGACGGCUUCCCAACCAUAGACAGAGCUUCAUCGCCUGGAAGCCACUGAACACAGCAGAGACCUAGUACCAUGGGCUAGAAGGAGAGGUCGGUCUCACGCUUGGUCCCUGAAAUGCCAUCUCCUUCACUCUAGAAGGUUCUGAGUGAUGAAUAGCAUGGGGGGGGGGGGAAGAAACCCUUGCCACAAAUGGCUCCUUGCAGCCUGCCCUAAAGUGGACCUCUCCUGAUUAGAUUCUGUAUCUAGCAGAGAUUGGCUCAGUCAGAGAGUAGGUGUUGCUCAUAACUGGCUUGAACUCCCUUUCCAGAGUGAGUACUGCCAAGGCUGAGGUCAAGGGUGGAUAGACUGUGGUCAAGGACGGAUUCCGAGGUGGCUGGUGUGCUGGGCUUUAGGCAUACAUCGUCAGUGUGGGUCCAUUGCUCCUCAUGGCUUCGGGCAGAUCAGGGGCUCUGAGGAAACUGCUGGAACUCCGGGUGUGGAUUAACCUUUUCCAGUACCCUGUGAGAGAGCAGAGAGAAGGUUCAGAGAUGACAUGGGGAGCCCCCAACCCAGUCUGGAGAGGUGACACAGGACUGUGGGAAGACAGCUCCAGGUCUAUUGUCCAUAGACAGAUGGCUCUAGAGAAGAGCUCUAAAGACUUCAGUGGGUCAGCUAGCCUGGGGCUCAGCCACAAGGAAGUUCUCUGGGCUUUCUGUGACCACAGUUCUGCCACUGUGGUCCUGUCUGCCACAUGGGGAUGGGGCAGGAUGAGGGGACGAGAGAGAGAGAGCCAGAGAGAGAGAGAGAGAGGACACAGCCUUGUCAGGUUGGCUUGACUCCUCCCCAUGUGUCCCUCUACCUCUCUCUGGAGAUGGUUCCUGAAAAAGCAGGCAACCAUCUGCAUUGGGGUAGGGUCAGCCCUGGGGCAGAAUACCUAAAGGACAAGGCCUCCUUUUCCAGUUAGGAGUGGGAGAGACAGGAAACUUCUAGAAAAAUCAGAUUCCAUGAUGAGCAGGCAAGGUCAGAGCCCUCCAUUACCCAAUCAGAAUGGCUGGAAUGAAGAGGAGGCCAGCUCCCAGGAGGAAGGGGAAGCCCUUCAUGAAGUUCAGAGUGGCCGGGUAGAUGGAGUUGAAGAUGCCGGAGGCCAUCAACAUGGCCAAGCUAUUCACACAGGCCACAGCAGAGAACAGAGCACCUGCAAGUGAACAAAUACACCUGAGAGCUGGAAAGACCCAGGGUCCAAUGAGGGCAGCUCCACCUCACAGCUGGACGGCCUGGGGUGGCUCCCCAACUCUCUCCUCCCUCACCUGAGCCUCCUAAUCUCAGUGUUGAAGUAAAAGCUCAAUGAGGCCAUCCACGGGAAGUGCCUGGCAGAAGAGCUAUUAAAUACAUGGCUGUUAACUGUUAAAAUUACUUGCAUGUGUGUGUUUUGCCUGCAUGUAUGUCUCCGUGCCACUUGCAUGCCUGGUGCCCUUGGAAGCUAGAAGAGGGUAUCAGAUCCCCCCCAAAAUGGAAUUACAGAUGGUCAUGAGUCACCACAUGAGUGCUGCUAAGAAUCGAGCCCAGGUCCUCUGGAAGAGUAGCUUGUGCUAUUAAAGGCUGAGCCAUCUCUCUGCA